CAGGGGUAACAUUGGCUGCAAACACAUACUACUAGCUCAACGACCACUGCGUCACUUCCGGAAGUUUAAAGUUCUAAAACUUCUAAUUGAUAAACUACGUGAUUCAUACCUAUCGUAGACUGAGAAAAAAUUCAGUUAACCAAUGCAACGUGUUUGCUACGUAGAAUUAUAUUGAUAUUUAGUUUAAAUUAAUUCAAGUGUACAUUUAUUACAUUCGUCGGUGUCCAGAAGAUAUUACAAUUUGUUGUGCAACACAUCGACAAGAGUAACGUUUUACAAUUUUUAUUUUUAAUGAAGUGGGAUAAAUUUUAUAAGUGCACAAAUGUUGUGACAAGGUUAAGUAACCUUAGUACCUCAAGCAAGAUAAGAUAUCACAGAAUUUUUAUUUUUGUUAUUGCAAUUAAAACUAUUCGAAAGAGUAAUAGUAUUAUUUCCAUAACCAACCUCAUGGCCUGCCAAAAAUUAAUAAAUCAAGUUUUUUAAUGUGGUGUACGAUAAUAUAAAAAUAGAAACUUCGAAAGAUAUUUCCGUACAGUAAAUAAUGUCGUAUAUAAUUGAUUAUCCUGAAUGUUUGACGUAUAUCGAGCUCUAAACUUUACCUUAAUUAUAAAUAACAAAUCUACGGAACUUUACGUAAAAAUGCAGCAGUUUUUAUGACGAAUCUUAAAAAAUAAAUCUCGUUAUUGUGAUGCAUUAUCGAAACAUUGAUUCUACUAAUUUAUUACGACUAUUAUACGGAAAAGAGGCUAAUUUUGUAAACUAUUAAACAAAUAAAACGUCCAUAAACUAAUUUUAA